rnacentral:rRNA from 1 species
CUAGUACCGUGAGGGAAAGGCGAAAAGAACCCCGGAGAGGGGAGUGAAAUAGAUCCUGAAACCGUAUGCGUACAAGCAGUGGGAGCAGACUUUGUUCUGUGACUGCGUACCUUUUGUAUAAUGGGUCAGCGACUUAUUUUCAGUGGCGAGCUUAACCGAAUAGGGGAGGCGUAGCGAAAGCGAGUCUUAAUAGGGCGUCUAGUCGCUGGGAAUAGACCCGAAACCGGGCGAUCUAUCCAUGGGCAGGUUGAAGGUUGGGUAACACUAACUGGAGGACCGAACCGACUACCG